GGGGGGGGGGAGAGAGAGAGAGGGAGAGAGAGGAGGUCAAUAACCCUUUAUAUGGCUGGUCUCUAGAGAGAAAGAGGAGAUCAAUAACCCUUUACAGUUGGGCAAAAAAGUAUUUAGUCAGCCACCAAUUGUGCAUGUUCUCCCACUUAAAAAGAUGAGAGAGGCCUGUAAUUUUCAUCAUAGGUACACUUCAACUAUGACAGACAAAAUGAGGAAAAAAAAUACAGAAAAUCACAUUGUAGGAUUUUUAAUUAAUUUAUUUGCAAACGAUGGUGGAAAAUAAGUAUACAUCUGACUGUGUUUCUUAAUUUGUAUAAUUUAGUUUAUUAAUUUAAUUUAGUUCAAUGUUCUUUAGUCCUCAUGGCGAUCAGCACAUCACCACUUUACAACGCGAGCUGGAGAACAUAUGCAUUUUGAAUGCACUUCAUUUACUUGAAAUCUGAAUGUUUUAAUAUUAUAUUAAUAUUGUUAUUAAUUAUUAAUUAUAUUAUGAGGCGUUUCUUACCUUGCCUUUAGAGAGUCAUAAUGCGACCAUGGAAACGGAGAGGCAAUUAUUUUACAAAGACUUCAUAGGCAAGCGAGUAAGUUUUAAAGGUUUUUUUUUGUGGGGGGGGGGGUGAGCUUACAAUUUAUCCUACAAUUUCUACCGAUCUGCGUGCCAGCUAUCAUUUUCAUAUGUAACGAAAUGUUAAUUUGAAUAUGGAAUCGUUAUCAGGCGCUCUGUUUGGAAUAGUGUUUUUCCAGUGAAUUGCAUUUUGGGAAAUGUUGUUUUCUUGGUUGCUUUAUUACAGGAGUUGCUUGUUCUGUUGAGAUGAAUUAGCAUAAUCCUAUAUUUCUGUCGUUCCGAGCAUCGUGGUUGGACGUCCCAAUGAAUAUGGCUCAGGUUAAUUUCUCUAAUGGCCUGUACAUUAACAUCUUCCCGGUCACGUGGUCCAGGGGACACAUUUUCCUAAUGGAGAUCCUGCCACACACACAUACACACACAUACACACACACACACACACACACACACACACAUACAAGCACACGCACAUGCACACGCACACGCACACACACACACACACACAGUUUUGUACAGCUAACCUUGUGGGGACACACAAUUCAGUCCAAUUGAAAAAUCCUAUUUUUCCAAACCCCUGAUAGUAAACGGAACCCUAACCCCUAACAUGUACUCUCACCCUAAACUUACCACAAAAACCUAACCCUAAAACUAACCCUAGCUCCUAGCUCCUAACCCUAAAACUAACCCUAGCUCCUAAUCCUAAAACUAACCCUAGCUCCUAGCUCCUAACCCUAAUACUAAUCCUAGCUCCUAACCCUAAAACUAACCCUAGCUCCUAACCCUAAAAAGAACCCUAGCUCCUAGCUCCUAACCCUAAAACUAACCAAAGCUCCUAACCCUAAAAUUAAUCCUAGCUCCUAGCUCCUAACCCUAAAACUAACCCUAGCUCCUAGCUCCUAACCCUAAAACUAAUCCAAGCUCCUAGCUCCUAACCCUAAAACUAACCCUAGUUCCUAGCUCCUAACCCUAAAACUAACCCUAGCUCCUAGCUCCUAACCCUAAAACUAACCCUAGCUGCUAACCCUAAAACUAACACUAGCUCCUAUCGCCUAACCCUAAAACUAACCCUAACUCCUAACCCUAGCUCCUAUAUCCUAACCCUAGCUCCUAAACCUAAAACCAACCCUGUCUCCUAUCUCCUAACCCUAAAACUAACCCUAGCUCCAAACCCUACAAACCUAAUUCUAAGCUUAAACCUAAACCCUUUAGAAAUAGUAAUUGAUCUUGUGGGGACUAAGAAAAUGUCCCUAGUUGGUAUGAUUUAUGUUUGUUGACUAUUCUCAUAAGAACAUCUGGUCCCCACAAGAAUAGUCAAACACGUCCACACACACACACACACACACACACACACACACACACACACACACACACACACACACACACACACUCAGGUUCCCCCCCAUGUUUAAUGAAUGGAUGUGAAGCUUGAAGACGUUUCUCGUAAUAAAUGCAUUAAUCUGUUA